UACGUAGGGACCAAGCGUUGUUCGGAUUUACUGGGCGUAAAGGACGCGUAGGCGGCAAUUCAAGUCAUCUGUGAAAUCUCCGGGCUUAACUCGGAACGGUCAGAUGAUACUGCUUUGCUAGAGUGCGGAAGGGGCAAUCGGAAUUCUUGGUGUAGCGGUGAAAUGCGUAGAUAUCAAGAGGAACACCGGUGGCGAAGGCGGGUCUCUGGGCAAUAACUGACGCUGAGGAGCGAAAGCGUGGGGAGCGAACAGG
rnacentral:rRNA from 1 species